rnacentral:tRNA from 1 species
GCCGGAAUAGCUCAGUCGGUAGAGCGCGUCACUCGUAAUGACGAGGUCCGGGGUUCGAUUCCCCGUUCCGGCUCCA